GGCUCUGCACAGUUAGCUUAUAUUAAAUAAUCCUAUUUUUUGAUGUGGUGUAGGGGUCACUUUGAUUAAAUGUUAAUAACUACCAUUUCUAUUCCAUGUUUCUCUCGGUGUUCUGUCUGUUUGGCAAUUGGCUUGUCAUUCGAAAUAUAAAUAAAAUUUCAAGACAAAUUUGAUUUAUCAUUAUCUGGGUUAGAAUAUAAAGUGGUAUGCCUGUAUAUGAGUCCAUCUGCAUGUGAUCAAUUUUACUCUUGUGGUACAGCUAUGAAUUGAUAUAAUGGAUAGUUUGGUAGUUUUUACAUAGUCUGUUUGAUACAGCAGAAAUUACUCCCUUUGAUUUAAAAAAUGUUCUUAACUGUUUGCCAGACUUGAAAGACUUUUAAAAAUUGUAUAAGACAAAUAUGGAAG
rnacentral:lncRNA from 1 species